CUUGACAACAUUAGCUGUCAAUAUGAAGUGAGCAGGUUUUAGGAGGGGCAACGGUAGUCGAGGCUUCUUUCUUUUGCGGCUCGUGUGAUUAAGUCUAUAUAGAAAGACGCUUUUUAUGGCAACAGGUACAGUCAAGUGGUUCAACGAUUCUAAAGGCUUCGGCUUUAUCACUCCGGAUGACGGCGGUGAAGAUUUGUUUGCACACUUUUCAGCAAUCCAGAUGAACGGCUUCAAGACUCUCAAAGAAGGUCAAAAAGUCCAGUUCGAAGUCACGCAAGGCCCUAAAGGCAAGCAAGCUUCCAACAUUCAAGCUCCUUGAUUCAAGGAGCUUCAUGAAAAACCCCGCUCAGGCGGGGUUUUUUUAU
rnacentral:sRNA from 1 species